AGCAUCAUUUGAAAGAUUGGAUCAGAACAUGUUUGAAUUUAGAGAACCUUUGUGUUAUUGUGGUUGGAAUGUUGGGCUAUAGUUCUGGAGACCAGGAUUCCAACCUCUGCUUGGGCAUGGAGUGACCCCAGCCAAAUCAUACUUUCUGAAAUUCAGAGGAAGCAAAGGCAACCCCUUUCUGAACAAAGCUUGCUAAGAAAAUACCAUAGGUUUGUCACCAUAAGCCAGAAAUGACUUGAAAGCACCCAGGGCAAUGAGAUGGAAUUCUUUGUGCCACAUUGUUCCCAGUGAUAACAACUGACAUCCUCGGGAACUCAUCCACCCAUGGUUUAUUGACGACAAGUACACACAGAUCAGAGCAGCAAUUUUGCUUAGGAGAAGCCACAUUUGGUUCAGCUAAAAUAUGUUCAUUCAGUUCUUAUUAAAACUAUUCAUUGGCAUUUACAUAGAGACAAAUGGAAAGCAGGAGACCAUUGCAUAAAAUCAUGGCCAUAGCCUGCACAUUAUUUUUGUAGUUAUUUUCAGAGACCACCUAACAUUGAAGCAGAUUUGCAUACUAGUGCGAUCCUCCACAAUUAUGAACACAUUCUGUUUUUAAAAUAACUCCAUCUGGGUAUAUUUGCAAGAGCUUUCUUGAUUCAGCAGCAGCAAAAUCUCAAAUCAGUUAUCAGAACCAACUACUGAGAGCAGGAUUUCACAGAAUCAAAUGUUCAUCAAUGAGCAAAGAAACAUCUGCUCCUCUGGCUCUGGGCACUGGGAGCUCAAGGAGUGCAUGGAGUUAGAUGCCUAAAAAUAGUGGCAGACGGAAAGCCACAAUCGAGCUACUGUGAAGAAAGGAGAGAGAAAAAAAACCCCUCUUACCUCAGAUAGCUGAUCCUAAAUGCUAUUCUUAAUCUGAAUUCUGUCCAAGAUGUCUUAAGAGAAAACCAAGAGAGUAAUACCAGAUCAAGAAGAGAAAACAGACUGACUCCAACAAACUGUGUGAUCAGCAAGAAAUAUGCAAGCUUUUCUAGAGAUUCCUCAAGAGCCAUUCUUCUGUGUAAUCUAGUAAGAAAGCCAUUAAAAGCAGUUCCCGGGCCACAAAGAAAACAUUUGCUUAUUGAGUCAUAUCCUUUGAAAUAUAUUUGUGCAUUAAGCUUUCUGUGGGGAAACCCACAGGGGCAAAACACAAAAACACACACACAUGCCUCAGCAGACUACUCUUUUAACCUCACCCGAUAUAUGGCAUAAUGGAUGAGUGCUAACAUUGUAUGCACUUAAAUCAAAAUGUAGAUAUGAAGAAUUGUCUUUCUUCCACCCCCUUUUCCUACUGCUUUAGCACAUGAGAUGAAACAUUAAUAGAAGGAGUUGGAUGUGCCUAAAGAUAAAGCUGCCACCUACUCAUCAUCCAGAAUGCUGACUUCCUCCUCCAAGCUGUCAAAAAGUAAAAAUAAAAAAGGACCUACUUACCUCUCUGUAAUGACUUUUCAGAAACUAGUGAAAAAUCUUUCCUCUUUGGUUUGUGGAUUCUUCUUUUGUUGAAUUGGUUGAACUGGGAUGAGGAUGAUGGUAACUGGGAUGAGGAUGAUGGUUGA